GACGAACGCUGGCGGCGUGCUUAACACAUGCAAGUCGAACGGGAUCCAUCCCAGCUUGCUGGGAGAAGAUCUAGUGGCGAACGGGUGCGUAACACGUGGGCAACCUACCUCGGAGAUCGGGAUAACAGCUGGAAACGGCUGCUAAUACCGGAUAACCCUCUCGGAUCGCAUGGUCCGAGAGGCAAAUGGUCCGCCGCUCCGGGAUGGGCCCGCGGCCUAUCAGCUUGUUGGUGAGGUAACAGCUCACCAAGGCGACGACGGGUAGCCGACCUGAGAGGGUGAGCGGCGACACUGGGACUGAGACACGGCCCAGACGCCUACGGGAGGCAGGAGUGGGGAAUUUUGCGCAAGGGGCGAAAGCCUGACGCAGCAACGCCGCGUGGAGGAUGAAGGUCUUCGGAUUGUAAACUCCUGUCGGGAGGGACGAAGCGAAAGUGACGGUACCUCCAAAGGAAGCCCCGGCUAACUACGUGCCAGCCGCCGCCGUAA
rnacentral:rRNA from 1 species